rnacentral:lncRNA from 10 species
GCCAGGAGUGGUAGUGUGCCUAUAGACUUAGCUACUUGGGAGGCUGAGGCAGGAGGAUUGCUUGAGUUCAGGAGUUUGAGGCUGCAGUAAGCUUUGAUCACUCCACUGCACUCCAGCCUGGUCAACAGAGUAAGACCCUGUCUCUCAAAAAAAAAAAAAAAAAGUGCUGGCAAUAAUGUGGAGAAAUUAGAAAUCUCAUGCAUUGUUGGUGGGAAUGUCAAAUGGUACAGCUGCUCUGGAACACAGUCUGGCAGUUAUAUAACCUAGCAAUGCCACUGGCAGGUAUAUACCCAAGGGAAAUGAAAACACAUGUCCGUACUAAAGUUCAUAGCUAUUCAUAAUAGCCCAAAAGUGGAAACAACUCAAAUGUCAAUUAGUUGAUGAACAGAUAAAUAAAAUGUAGCAUAUCCGUAUGUUAUGAGUUGAAUCGUAUUCCCCAAAAAGAUAUGUUGAAGGUCUAACCCCCAGGACCUGUGAAUGUGACCUUAUUUGAAAAUAGGGUCUUCGCAGAUGUAAUCAAGUUAACAUGAGGUCAUACUGAAGUAGGGUGCGCCCUUAAUCAACUAUGACUUGUGUCCUUACAGGAGGAGGAGAAGAAACAGGCUUACGCUGAGCGAAUCCAAUGUGCAGACAGACACACAGGGAAGGUGACCAUUUGAAGACGGAGGCAGAAACUGAAGUUGUGCAACUGCAAACCAAGAAAUGCCAUGGAUUGCCAACAACCACCAGGAACUAGAAGAGGCAAGGUAAGGUUCAGCAAAGUCUAUGUCAUUCUCUAAUCCUUUUGAUCCAGCGGAUUCUUUGGAGGAAUUUGAAUACAUAUUGGAUUUUGCAUCCAGGUUUGCAAGAGGAAAAUACAAAGGUGACUUCUGGGCCUGCUGGAGGUGGAGGGUAGAGGAUGGACAGCUGACAUCUAGUCACAGAGGAAAGAACACAGAAAGAGAUCUCCAGUUAAAGCUGAUAGAUUGAACCACAGACAACCCACCUCCUUCUAAAAUCCCUCUAGAACAAUGGUUUAAAAAAAGUGCUUUAACAUAAAACUUCAAAAUCAAAAAGAUAAGGAAAAUGAUGAAAACCACUCAGAUAAGAAGAGAGGAUAUUUAUGCAGAGGCUGCUGUCGUUGGGAGUCCGCCACCAUACCACUAUACUUUGGUGAGACUUGAAGGCAGGCAGGGAGUGGAAACACUUUAUGCUGUAGUGAAAAAAGGGGAAGGCUUCGGUAUGCUCUGACUGGAGAUCAUUGUCAUGGGGAAACUGCAGGUGGGCUAACUAGAGGCUGGGCUUCUUGUGUAAUGGUUUGGCUUUCUCUGGUUGGUCCUGUGUUGAAAAUAGGGGCAAAAUAUAGGGAAGCUGACUCAUUGACCAAGCCCUGCCCAGGCUGGCCAAUUGCAGAGGUUGUGGGUCAGAGUUCUAUUGUCAUAUAUGGUCUGGCUACUGUCUGUUUAUAUAAUCCGUCUCUCAGAGAACAGUAGAGGAGAUCAAAUUAUUAACAUUUUGGAAGCUGGAAAGCAGGAGGAUAGUGUGAGCUGAAUUAGCAGACUUGCCAUCUAUCAAAGGGGAUAGCCAAAAGCAAGCCAGAUUUGCCCCAGAGAACCACCAAAGGUUCAAGAAUUGGCAGCACCAGGUACCCCCAGAAGCAGGGAUAAAGUGGGGGCUGAAAUUGGACAGUUGGUUCAAAGUCUAUUUCAGAAGCAUUAGACCACUGGAUUUCUUCCCCAGCUCCCAAAUGACUGCCUGGUGCAAAAGACUCAGGAUUGAUUCCCUGGAGAGGGUAGGUAGUUCUUUGUCUAGUUAAGGAUGGGAUGCCAUAACAAACAUGCCAAUUCAGUGAAAGUACCUACUUUCAAGACUCCUGCUUAACUCCCCUAAAUCAGCAGCCAAUGUUAGAAGCCAAGUGUUAAAGUUUUUCAGAUAAUUUUGCUAUAAGCCUAUGGAGAAAUUUCAUUACCAUCUCAUAGCAAGGCCUAUAGUAUAAGAGCAGGCCUAUAGUAGCAUAUGGGGGAAAGUCUAAAAGACUUUGAAAUGGACCAAAAGAUUAUUGAGAAAUGGAAAACUGCAUUGUUUUAAGUAUCCCUUUCCAACUUAUCAGAUUCUGUGGGGUUUAUACCUUUCAUUGUCUUUGAGGUAUUUAACAAUUCUAAAGAGAUAGACUCUAACUUGUAGAAAACUAAGAGUAACAUAAAUAAUUAUCGUCUUUAGAUAUACAAAUAAAUUCUGUUCUGAGAAGUUUCUGUUGACUUCCCUUUCUCACUGUUCUAUUCAGAACAUUGAUUUCAGGUGGGGUGUAGAGGCUCAUGCCUAUAAUCCCAGCACUUUGGGAGGCCAAAGCAGGAGGAUUGCUUGAGCCCAGCCUGAGCAACAUAGCAAGAUCCCAUCACUACAGAAAAAACUAAUUAACGGGGCAUGGUGAUGUGCACCUGUAGUCCCAGCUACUAGGGAGGCUGAGGUGGGAGGAUUGCUUGAGCCUAGGAGUUUGAGGUUACAGUGAUGUAUGAUGGCACCACUGCACUGCAGCCAGGGCAACAGAGCAAGACCCUGUCAGAGAGGUGGGGGGUGCAGGAGAGACAGAGAGAGAGAGAGAAAAGAGAGGAGAGAGAGAGGCUGGGUGUGGUGGCACACACCUGUAAUCCCAGCACUUUGGGAGGCUGAGGGGGUGGAUCACCUGAGGUCAGGAGUUCAAGACCAACCUGGCCAAGAUGGUGAAACCCCUGUCUCUACUAAAAAUGCAAAAAUUAGCCAGACCUAGUGGCUCACACCUGUAAUCCCAGACACUUGGGAGGCUGAGGCAGGAUAAUUGCUUGAACUUGGGAGGUGGAGGUUGCAGUGAGCCGAGGUUGCACGACUGCACUCCAGCCUGGGCGACAGAGCAAGACUGCCUCAAAAAAAAAAAAAAAAAAAAAAAGGCCGGGCAUGGUGGCUCAUGCCUGUAAUCGCAGCACUUUGGGAGGCCGAGG